UCCAAUCGAACCCGGAGAUAGCUGGUUCUCCUCGAAAUAGCUUUAGGGCUAGCCUCAUGGAUCAUUGGUGGGGGUAGAGCACUGAAUGUGCGCGGGGGCCACAAAGCCUACCAAACGCUAUCAAACUUCGAAUACCAUACAAUGCAGACCAUGGGAGUCAGUCCGCGAGAGAUAAGUUCCGCGGGCAAAAGGGGAACACCCCAGAUCAACCGCUAAGGUCCCCAAGUUCACGUUAAGUGGAGAAGGAUGUGGAAUUGCACAGACAACCAGGAUGUUGGCUCAGAAGCAGCCACACAUUUAAAGAGUGCGUAAUAGCUCACUGGUCGAGUGAUUGUGCGCCGAAGAUGUCCGGGGCUAAACGUGACACCGAAGCGAUGGGUGCAUCUGAAGAAGAUGCGCGGUAGAGGAGCAAUGUGCAGAGGCAGAAGCCGUAUCGAGAGGCACGGUGGACACUGCACAAGAGAGAAUGCCGGUAUGAGUAGCGAGAGGCAUGCGAGAAACAUGCCCGUCGAAAGCCCAAGGUUUCCUGGGGAAGGUUCAUCCGCCCAGGGUAAGUCGGGGCCUAAGCCGAGGACGGAAGUCGUAGGCGAUGGACAGCAGGUGUAGAUUCCUGCACUACCGAUGGAAUGAAGCAGUGACACAGAAGGAUAACUCGAGCAGGGUGAUGGUCAACCCUGUGCAAGCAUCAAGGUUGGGUUGUAGUGAAGUACGCAACCCUAUAAGCUGAGGUGUGAUGCGGACCGAAAUUUCAGUAGGGAAGCGAGUGAGUUCACGCUGGCGAGAAAAGCUGCUAGUACAUCCAAAGGUACCCGUACCGGAAACCGACGCAGGUGGGCGAGGAGAGAAUCCUGAGACGAACGGGAGAACCCUUGUUAAGGAACUCGGCAAAAUGACCCCGUAACUUCGGGAUAAGGGGUGCCUGCGAGAGCAGGCCGCAGAGAAUAGUCACAAGCGACUGUUUAGCAAAAACACAGGUAUCUGCGAAAGCGAGAGCUGACGUAUAGGUGCUGACACCUGCCCGGUGCUGGAAGGUUAAGGGAACAUGUUAGAGCAAUCGAAGCAUCGAACCGAAGCCCCAGUAAACGGCGGCCGUAACUAUAACGGUCCUAAGGUAGCGAAAUUCCUUGUCGGGUAAGUUCCGACCCGCACGAAUGGUGUAACGACUUGUGAGCUGUCUCAACAGGGGGCCCGGUGAAAUUGAAGUAUGGGUGAAGAUGCCCAUUACCCGCGACUGGACGGAAAGACCCCGUAGAGCUUUACUGCAGCCUGAUAUUGAGUUUCGGUAACUGAUGCACAGGAUAGGUGGGAGUCUGAGAGACAUGGGUUUCGGCUCAUGAGGAGACGAUGUUGGGAUACCACUCUUCGGUUACUGAAAUUCUAACAUAGCUCUGUGAAACCAGAGGAUGGACAGUGUCAGGUGGACAGUUUGACUGGGGCGGUCGCCUCCGAAAGAGUAACGGAGGCGCCCAAAGGUACCCUCAGAAUGGAUGGAAACCAUUCGAAGAGCGCAAAGGCAGAAGGGUGCCUGACUGCGAGAGUGACAACUCGAGCAGAGACGAAAGUCGGGCUUAGUGAUCCGGCGGUAUUGAGUGGAAAAGCCGUCGCUUAACGGAUAAAAGCUACCUCGGGGAUAACAGGCUGAUCUCCCCCAAGAGUCCACAUCGACGGGGAGGUUUGGCACCUCGAUGUCGGCUCAUCGCAUCCUGGGGCUGUAUUCGGUCCCAAGGGUUUGGCUGUUCGCCAAUUAAAGCGGCACGCGAGCUGGGUUCAGAACGUCGUGAGACAGUUCGGUCCCUAUCCAUCGUGGGCGUAGGAGUCAUGAGAGGAGCUGUUCCUAGUACGAGAGGACCGGAAUGGACGCACCACUGGUGCAACUGUUGUCGUGCCAACGGCAUAGCAGGGAAGCGAAGUGCGGAUGGGAUAAACGCUGAAGGCAUCUAAGCGUGAAGCCCACCUCAAGAAUAAGACUCCACAAUAGACCCCUGGAGGACUACCAGGUAGAUAGGUCAUCGGUGGAAGCGCUGUAAGGCGUGUAGCUUGAUGAUACUAAUCGGUCGAAAGCUUCAUUUA
rnacentral:rRNA from 1 species